GUCCUGGGUCAUGCGACCCAGUGUUUUGAGUUUUAGUUUAUUUGGAUGUUUAUUGUUUGUUUAGGUUCAUUAAGUUAUUCCAGCUCAUUUGUAAUUAUAUUACCCUUGUGUUUAGUCUCUCUUGCCCUUCGUGUGUGUUAUGUCUGUGUGUCUUAUGUUGUCAAGUUCUUGUAGUUAUUUCUGCCAUCUUCCCCUGUACUCAGUCUCCCUGGUUCUGUGUCUACGUUUCAUGUCUAUGCAGUUAUGUUAAGUUCAUGCCAUGUUUCAUUUCCAUGUCUAUGUCUGCGUGUUUCCUGUUUUAUUUUGGAAGAGUCUGGUGUUCAUUGUAGUUAGUGUUACUCUCCCCUGUAUUGUCAUUAUGUUCCAUUCUAGUCAGCUGUGUUCUCAUGUGUCUCCACUUCCCCUGAUCGCCUCAUGUGUGUAUUUAGUCCCCAGUCUUGCUGUGCUCAGUGUCGCGUCGUCUGUGUUCUCACCUCCAUGUUUUCACGGUUCUGGUUAGACACAGCCAGCCAAACCCACUGCAUAGACCUGUACAGCUGACACCCAGCAGCCUCUACGAGUUGACAAAUGGAAAAAGGCCUGAAGAUAAAUGAAGCACAAUUACCCGAGCUCAGGGAUGGGUGAUGCCAUAGGCUCCCUCGGUCAGUCCCACCUUUUGGUGCUCCGGGGCAGAGGAGAGAGGAAAAAGACCCCGAGAGCAGCUGAUGACUGGGGUUCUGAUGGGAGGACAUGGAAAUGUGGGUCGUGCCUCACCUGCGCUUUCAUCUGCAGGUCCUGUUCAUCCUCAGAGAUGCCUGUCACAAAUCCCCGCUCUGCAUGUCAGAGACACCCGUUUCCCUGUGCAGCCCUGACUCACAGACAUAACCCAAUAGCACACUCACUACCAGGGACUGAAACUCACAUCUGGGCUGCAGAGACAAAGGUGAAACACUUGAGAGCUGUGGUAAAUUCUGAGUAAUGCGGCUCAUUUCUCAGCAAACACAUACUGUAAAGUUUUUGGGGGAAUGCAGAUCUUGACACAAGUUUAGAAGCUGAUGGUUUUUUGUGCUGUCUGAAAUAUAUCGGGUUGCACAUCGCUGACCUAUAAAAGACAACAGACAUCAUCUCGUCUUUCUUUUUGUUGCUACACAGGUUUUCACUGUUGUUUUAGGCUGUGGUACCAACGUCAAAUCAAAACACUUGUUUGGAUGCUCUAAUUGAUGGCAGGCAUUGUUUCCAGCCAGCUCCUCCUCUUCCCUUUCCCCAAUCCACUCCCAGUUCACUCAGAAUUACUUCUCCUCCCCUGCAGCUACGAUUCAUUUUAUGCCGUAGA